GUAGCCUAGAAUACGUUUUCGUUAAUCAAUCAUCAGCCUCUAGUAAUUUCACCAGCGAGUCCGCAGUAAACAUAGUUAUUUGUAAAUAUGAAUAGAUGUGUAGCCGACAGUAGAUGUGUACGGAACGCGCGAUUACAAUGUUUCGUAGAACGACGAUGCGCUAGUCUAUCCGUCUGUGUCCCCUUGACCCGAGGCUGCUAGACGUUACAAUGUAACCACAUGAUGAUGAUGAUGAUAAUGACGACGAUAUUCUGUCUGGACCUCGAGAUUGUGCUCGCUUUACAUUGUUAGAAUGAGAAAAAAGCAGAAUGUGAAACAGAGAAAGGCAGAAACAAUAAUAACACCAACACCAUUAACAACAACAACACUAUCAACAACAACAACAGCAGCAGCAGUCAUCCAGGAGUUUGUGGUUGAGAAGAUCAUCCACCGAAGGGUCUUCAAUGGAAGAGUAGAGUACUAUCUGAAGUGGAAAGGAUUCACUGAUGCUGACAACACCUGGGAACCAGAGGACAACUUGGUCUGUCCUGAAUUGAUAGAAGAGUUCCUGAGAAACCUCUGUUUGUCUGGAGAGAAUCAGGUUGAGGAAGAGAACCUACGGCCGGUGGAACCAGAGCUAGUCCCCAAAGAGGAACUGGCAGAACAGGAGACUGAGAUUCAGGUGUACAGCGAGCAGAGACAUAAUGACCUCCAGGAACCUGCUGACCAGGAUUCUCCUACUGCCCUCACAUGCCCCCUGGAACCUGAACGCAUCAUUGGCUCCACAGACAGACACGGAGAACUCAUGUUCCUCAUCAAAUGGAAGAACCGUGACGAGGUGGCCCUGCUGUCAGCCAGGGAGGCCAGCGCCAGGUAUCCUGAGGUGGUUGUAGCCUUCUACGAGGACAAACUCACCUGGCACUCUGGGGACGAGGACCAGUAAAGGAUGUGUGUGUGUCGUAGAAUGUGUGUGUGCAUGUGAGUACACAAGUAUGGAUGUGAACUGACAAGCAUCUGUAGCCAUCUCAUAGGUUAAUUUCUCCUCCAGCGAACCAAUGUCCUCCUUGAGCUGACAUUAAAAGCACAGUGUGUGAAACGAUGUCCUGCUGCAGGUAGAUUGAGUCAUCGAGGCAGGUGUAAAAGCCCUCUACGGGGUCUUCCUGCUUCCUGUGGUGCUGGGUGAGGUCACAAUGCCUUUGGGGUGUAGUGCAGCGUGUGGUGGAGUUCAGAACCGUUCAUAGAGACGUCUAUCUCUCUCUGUGGCCCUGAUUGAGUUGAAACUAAUGAAAUGAAGGCAGACAGCCUGAUGAAUUCUCCCCUCAGUCUAUUGUACAACCUUUCAACCCGAAGCUCUUUGUCAAAGCCUGACAGAGUGUGUGAGUAUCUCUGGAUUUACAUGCCUUUGUUUUUUGGGAUCCAGCACUUAAAAGUGACUGGAUGUGUGUACACUACGUUUGAAGAGUUGAAACUAACCCUUAGCAUUCCUUUCCCAGUGUCUUCAUGUACUGCAGCAGACUGAAUCACUGUGGACACUGUUCUGUUUGACUACUGAUACUGUGGUCGUAGAACCCCAUGUGAUUGUAUUGGAGUUUAGUACUUGAUUUAGUUUCUUGUAUCUUCUGCCUCCGGGGCACCUUGGCCACAAGGCUCUCCCUCCGGCUCUUCCACUGUGAGAUGACUGUGGUUUUAUUAGGUAUAGUAAUAUUGUAGAGUAAUGGGUUCACUGUGAGAUGACUGUGGUUUUAUUAGGUAUAGUAAUAUUGUAGAGUAAUGGGUUCACUGUGAGAUGACUGUGGUUUUAUUAGGUAUAGUAAUAUUGUAGAGUAAUGGGUUCACUGUGAGAUGACUGUGGUUUUAUUAGGUAUAGUAAUAUUGUAUAGUAUUGGGUUCACUGUGCAUUACACUCAAUAGAUAACUACUGGCCACCUAAUAUGAUAUCUGCACUUUUUACUUUUUGCCACAAUCCUUGAUAUUGUACUUUUUUUUGUGUGUGUGUGCGAUUCAAAGUUGAUAAAUGUGUUACAUUUAGUUUACUGACAAAUGUAGAAAAGUGUUGAAUGAUAGUAGACUGACGGUAUACUGUUUAAUGUAGAACAUGAUAGUAGAUGGUAUACUGUUUAAUGUAGAACAUGAUAGUAGAUGGUAUACUGUUUAAUGUAGAACAUGAUAGUAGAUGGUAUACUGUUUAAUGUAGAACAUGAUAGUAAACGGUAUACUGUUUAAUGUAGAACAUGAUAGUAGACGGUAUACUGUUUAAUGUAGAACAUGAUAGUAGACGGUAUACUGUUUAAUGUAGAACAUGAUAGUAGACGGUAUACUGUUUAAUGUAGAACAUGAUAGUAGACGGUAUACUGUUUAAUGUAGAACAUGAUAGUAGAUGGUAUACUGUUUAAUGUAGAACAUGAUAGUAGAUGGUAUACUGUUUAAUGUAGAACAUGAUAGUAGAUGGUAAACUGUUUAAUGUAGAACAUGAUAGUAGACGGUAUACUGUUUAAUGUAGAACAUGAUAGUAGACGGUAUACUGUUUAAUGUAGAACAUGAUAGUAGACGGUAUACUGUUUAAUGUAGAACAUGAUAGUAGACGGUAUACUGUUUAAUGUAGAACAUGAUAGUAGACGGUAUACUGUUUAAUGUAGAACAUGAUAGUAGAUGGUAUACUGUUUAAUGUAGAACAU